UAGGGAAUCUUCGGCAAUGGACGAAAGUCUGACCGAGCAACGCCGCGUGAGUGAAGAAGGUUUUCGGAUCGUAAAACUCUGUUGUUAGAGAAGAACAAGGACGUUAGUAACUGAACGUCCCCUGACGGUAUCUAACCAGAAAGCCACGGCUAACUACGUGCCAGCAGCCGCGGUAAUACGUAGGUGGCAAGCGUUGUCCGGAUUUAUUGGGCGUAAAGCGAGCGCAGGCGGUUUCUUAAGUCUGAUGUGAAAGCCCCGCU
rnacentral:rRNA from 1 species